GCUUGCCGUAUGGUUUUGGAAACAUUAAGGACCUUAUCUGUCACAUUGGCGCGUAUUGUUUUUGUAAAUAAAAGGUUAAAUUGAUAGACCUUAAUCGGAUUAGGGUUCCCAAAUGGCCAUAUUUCAAUGUAACAGCACUUGUUUCCGAAAACAAAUUUAAAAUAGUUAAUUAACACAGGUAUGUAUGUAUGUAAACGGAAGACAGAAAAAUACUGUAGGCUGCAACUGUGUCAAAACAGUGUACAGUAAGUGUGUCUUGCCUUUGUGAAAUAGUUUUGUGAUAUGAAUGUAGAGGGAUUUAUGUUUAUAGAACUGUAACGUUACUGCAAUUGAUAACCGUUUCAUGUUUAGAUGGAACAUUAUUUGGUUAAGGUCCUUGGACUAAGGUGUAACGUUAGGCUCCUUUAGUCCAACACUGGGCUACUGUACUUCAAGCUUGUAGAACAACCAUGUCAACAUUGCUAACGUGUUAACUAGCUGGCUAGAGUUAGAACCACUGACGAUAGCAUGUUGUCUUUUGCACAUUGGAGGCAUGUAAUACAGCUGUGUUAUACUUUGCGUUGCUUAUAGUCGUGCAUUAAUGUAGAUUGUUCGCUUAUCCUGGUAAAUGUUCUACCUAGUUAGCAACUAAAGGCCAUAUUGGCGCAUACAGCCAACGUCGUUCCUUUUCCUUUCAGUUUUGCGUGCACGCUAGUUACCUGGCAGAAGUUGUCGCAAUAUUCGGUGGAAGAUAUUUCCGAAAUGUCUUGUUGCCAGAGCGUUACUUCCAGCGCUCUCAAGGUAGUCAGCAUGCCUUCCAUGUCGACGAAGGUGUCCUCGGCAGUAUUAGACAGCCGAUUACUCCAGUCGGGUGCUGGUUCAACAUCACUAUCCGCCAUCCUCACUCCCCGCCACCGCGCGUAUGCAGCCUGUCAUGUGAUCGGCGUGCACUCACCAAUGCUCCAGGAAGUGGCAGAGAAAGCACAGGGUGCAGAGGGCCUCUUUCUCUUUCCUCCUUGGACAAAGACCAUGACCUUUUCCUCAGUUUAAACCAUCGCAGAGAAACUCACAGGGAUCACACAUCCAGUGGAUUUCGAGGAGCAAGUGACCGAUGACCCUAAUGGAGAGACCCUAACCCUGGAGUCCAAGAUGCAACUUGACACAAUGAUGAAGAGUAGACCCAGCAAAACACUCACAUAAUUACUGGGUUUUGCCUUACUGUGAUUUAAGCUAAAGUUAUUUGUAAUCCAGCUCAAGAAUAGAUUACAUCCUACCUUGUAAACGUUUUACUGCUGUCUAUGACUGAGUUAUAAAGUAUGAAAUUACUUAUGGUGAUAAAUGACAAGAGAAUAAGGUUCAAAUAGGCAUUCCAACAGUUAGCAGAGAAAGCCUCACUCAGAUGGUUUCACCUGUCUCUGUGCUUGUCUCCACCCGCCACCAGGUGUCUCCCAUCUCUCAGUGUUCUCUGUCUGUUGACAGUUUGUUUUGUUUGUCAAGCCUACCACCGUUGUUCUCUGCCUGUCUUUUUCUAGUUCCCGUUUUUGACCAUUCUGCCUGCCCUGGAUACUGGCCUCUGCCUGCCCUUGACCUGUCGUUUUGCCUGCCCCCUGUUCUAGUAAUAAACUUUUGCUACUUUGACACUGUCUGCAUCUGGGUCUUCCCUAUAACGUGAUCCAGAUUUCACAAUUAAGUCUCAGUCUCACCAGGUUACCCCUAGUUCCCUGAGUGGGCUGAGAUCCUGGCAGCAUUCUGCUGUGACCUCCACAUCCUUCUCUGCCAGCCAGUACAGGGACUUCCUGCCCCCCAAAACACAGGGGAGCUGGGAUACACCUGGUUGGUCAUUCAGAGUGAGCUCAACAUAUUCACUGGGUACCUGCCAAACAAUCGCUACCACCCCUCUGCACCACAAGGAAAAAAGGUUCUCAUUCACUCCCUGCUGAGUAUGUUCCACCCACGGCCUUUCAAGUCCCGCUUUGCCGCUCCGUGGCCUGCAUUCGAGCCGCCAGAGACUUCUAUCUGGACAUAGUCUUCAGGUGAGGAAACUCUGGGAUUCCUCAUCAAGCCUAGUCCAGUGAGUUCACAACUUGUUUCCAUGUUAUUACCCCUGUAACAGCUGCAGAUCCCAGCCUAUGGAAUAAAA